rnacentral:lncRNA from 10 species
CAAGUGACAAUUCUGUUCAUAUUUUUUUGCCACAAUAUGUAAGUUGCUAGGGCAGCUUCACCCACAGACAAUGGCUCUUAUUUUUACUUUCUUAUAGAUGACCUUUCUUCUUUUUACAACUGCUUUUUUUUUUUUUUUGGCAGCAUUGCUGGUGACAGUUUCACAUUCCUCUGACUUAAAUCUCUCUAUUCUCUUUCUUUUUGCGAGGGUGUGGGGGCAAGUUUGAGAUGUGUGGGUGGUUUUUUUUUUUUUUUUUUUUUGGGUUGUUGGAGUUUUGUUUUUUUUUUUCUUUUACUUUCAAUAAUUUGCUGUUUCCAGGGAGGGGGAGAGACACGGUAUGCAUAGACAAGACAAGAACAUGUGAAACCAAGGAAGUUUUAAGCAUAUUUGAGCUUGAUUUUGGAGUAUGAAUUGAUAUAUAAUCAGAUUCCAGAAAGGAAGACAGAAGACAAAGAGAAAUAAAGACUGAGUCUUACCUGUUCAGAUUUUGCCCAAAUGUAGAAAGGAGCAUUUUGCUCCAUCCAGUUUGCAUUUCACUAUUGCUCAGGUUGUCCCACCAGAAUUUUAAGGAUCCCAAUUUACACAGAUCAAGCCCAGGGAGGUGAUUUCGUUUACAAUUUCUCCCUCCCCAUCUCUUCAAGAGCAAAAUAUUAGAUGAAGGUGUUCUAUCGUGAGAAUUAAAACCUUUCCAUGUGUUACUUAUUUAAUGAAAAAAAAAUCCUAUAGUUUUGCAAACCUGCUUCCUGAUUACUGGCCCAUGGAUAGCCAU